rnacentral:rRNA from 1 species
AUGAACGCUAGCGGCAGGCUUAACACAUGCAAGUCGAGGGGUAGGAGUUCUUCGGAACGUUUGAGACCGGCGCACGGGUGCGUAACGCGUAUGCAAUCUACCUUUUACAGAGGGAUAGCCCAGAGAAAUUUGGAUUAAUACCUCAUAGUAUUAUGAAAUGGCAUCAUUUUAUAAUUAAAGUCACAACGGUAAAAGAUGAGCAUGCGUCCCAUUAGCUAGUUGGUAAGGUAACGGCUUACCAAGGCUACGAUGGGUAGGGG